rnacentral:siRNA from 1 species
UGGCAAUAUGUCUACGCUGGUU